rnacentral:rRNA from 1 species
UACGUAUGGUGCAAGCGUUAUCCGGAUUUACUGGGUGUAAAGGGAGCGUAGACGGAGUGGCAAGUCUGAUGUGAAAACCCGGGGCUCAACCCCUGGACUGCAUUGGAAACUGUCAAUCUAGAGUACCGGAGAGGUAAGCGGAAUUCCUAGUGUAGCGGUGAAAUGCGUAGAUAUUAGGAGGAACACCAGUGGCGAAGGCGGCUUACUGGACGGUAACUGACGUUGAGGCUCGAAAGCGUGGGGAGCAAACAGG